rnacentral:misc_RNA from 1 species
GAUGAAGAACGUAGUGAAAUGCGAUAAGUAAUGUGAAUUGCAGAAUUCAGUGAAUCAUCGAAUCUUUGAACGCACCUUGCGCCCUUUGGACAUUCCGAAGGGCAUGCCUGUUUGAGUAUCAUGAACACCUCAACUCUCACGGCUUGUCCGUGAUGAGCUUGGACUUUGGGGGUCUUGCCGGCCUGUGGUCGGCUCCUCUCAAAUGGAUCAGCUUGCCAGUGUUUGGUGGCAUCACAGGUGUGAUAACUAUCUGCGCUUGUGGUUUUCCAUCAGAUAACCUUCAGUGAUAUGGAGGUACGCUGGAGCUCACAAAUGUCUCUCCUUAGUGAGGACAGCUCUUUGAACGUUUGAUCUCAAAUCAGGUAGGACUACCCGCUGAACUUAAGCAUAUCAAUAAGCGGAGGA